GGCAACAUGGCGGGUGAAGAAGCUGGAGUGACUCUGGGGCAGCCACGUCUUUCGCAUCAGGAUCUCACCACGUUGGAUGUUACCAAGUUGACGCUACUUUCACAUGAAGUUAUCAGCAGACAAGCCACAAUUAAUAUGGGUACAAUGGGUCAUGUAGCUCAUAGGAAAUCCACAGUCGUCAAAGCUAUUUCUGGAGUUCACUCCAUCAGGUUCAAAAAUGAACUAGAAAGAAAUAUUACAAUCAAGCUUGGAUAUGCUAAUGCUAAGAUUUAUAAACUUGAUGACCCAAGUUGCCCUCAGCCAGAAUGUUAUAGAUCUUGUGGGAGCAGUAUACCUGAUGAGUUUCCUACAGACAUUGCAGGGACAAAAGGGAACUUCAAAUCAGUCAGACAUGUUUCCUUUGUUGACUGUCCUGGCCACGAUAUUUUGAUGGCUACUAUGCUGAAUGGUGCAGCAGUGAUGGAUGCAGCUCUUCUGUUGAUAGCUGGUAAUGAAUCUUGUCCUCAGCCUCAGACGUCUGAACACCUGGCUGCUAUAGAGAUCAUGAAACUGAAGCAUAAUUUGAUUCUACAAAAUAAAAUUGAUUUGGUAAAAGAAAGUCAGGCUAAAGAACAAUACAAACAGAUCCUUGCAUUUGUCCAAGGUACAGUAGCAGAGGGAGCUCCCAUUAUGCCAAUUUCGGCUCAGCUGAAAUACAAUAUUGAAGUUGUUUGUCAGUACAUAGUAAAGAAAAUUCCAGUAUCCCCAAGAGACUUUACUUCAGAGCCCCGGCUUAUUGUUAUUAGAUCUUUUGAUGUCAACAAACCUGGCUGUGAAGUUGAUGACCUUAAGGGAGGUGUAGCUGGUGGGCCAGGAGAUAGAAGACCUGGUAUUGUUUCCAAAAAUAGUGAAGGAAAACUCAUGUGUAAACCAAUCUUUUCCAAAAUUGUAUCACUUUUUGCAGAGCAUCAUGAUCUGCAAUAUGCUGCUCCAGGCAGUCUUAUUGGAGUUGGAACAAAAAUUGACCCCACUUUGUGCCGGGCUGACAGAAUGAUGGGGCAAGUACUUGGUGCAGUCAGAGCUUUACCUGAGAUAUUCACAGAAUUGGAAAUUUCCUAUUUCCUGCUUAGACGGCUUCUAGGUGUACGCACUGAAGGAGACAAGAAGGCAGCAAAGGUUCAAAAGCUGUCUACAAAUGAAGUGUUCAUGGUGAACAUAGGAUCCCUGUCGACAGGAGGGAGAGUUAGACUUGUCAAGGCCGAUUUGUGUAAAAUUGUUUUGACCAAUCCAGUGUGCACAGAGGUAGGAGAAAAAAUUGCCCUUAGCAGGAGAGUUGAAAAACACUGGCGUUUAAUUGGUUGGGGUCAGAUAAGAAGAAGAGUAACAAUCAAGCCAACAGUAGAUGAUGACUGAAGAAUACCGGUUAAAUAAUACAUUCGGAUGGAGUUGGAAGUUAGAGUUUCUCAUAACAACCAAGGGGUUUAUUUUCAAAGCAAUAUUGGGGAAUUGAUUUCACAGUUCGUUACCUUAGUAGGUAACUGUAAGGUUAUUCUCUUUUUUUUGGUUAUGAAAACUUAGGGACUACAAUU